rnacentral:misc_RNA from 1 species
UCAAACUUGGUCAUUUAGAGGAAGUAAAAGUCGUAACAAGGUCUCCGUAGGUGAACCUGCGGAGGGAUCAUUACAGGGCUUCAAACCCCAUAAACCCAAAUGUGAUUUCUACCUAGACUUCUAUUCCUUUGGCAGGCGGCUCCUGGGAGGAGCCGAAGCCCUUUAGCUAGGGCGCCUGCCAAAAGAACUCAACAACUCUUGAUUAUUUGAUAUUUCUGAGUCUUUUUAAAAUUAAAUCAAAACUUUCAACAACGGAUCUCUUGGUUCUGGCAUCGAUGAAGAACGCAGC